rnacentral:rRNA from 1 species
CUUGAACGCUGGCGGCAGGCCUAACACAUGCAAGUCGAGCGGAGUGGCGGACGGGUGAGUAAUGCCAAGGAAUCUGCCUGGUAGUGGGGGAUAACGUCCGGAAACGGGCGCUAAUACCGCAUAAUAUCAGAUGAGCCUAGGUCGGAUGAGCUAGUUGGUGGGGUAAAGGCCUACCAAGGCGACGCUCCGUAACUGGUCGGAGAGGAUGAUCAGUCAGACUGGAACUGAGCAACGGUCCAGAUUCCUACGGCAGGCAGCAGUGGGGAAUAUUGGACAAUGGGCGAAAGCCUGAUCCAGCCAUGCCGCGUGUGUGAAGAAGGGCGUCGGAUUGUAAAGCACUUUAAGUUGGGAGGCGUUACCAACAGAAUAAGCACCGGCUAACUUCGUGCCAGCAGCCGCGGUAAUAC